AUUGAACGCUGGCGGCAUGCCUAACACAUGCAAGUCGAACGGCAGCACAGCAGUAGCAAUACUGUGGGUGGCGAGUGGCGGACGGGUGAGGAAUACGUCGGAAUCUGCCCAGUCGUGGGGGAUAACUAGCCGAAAGGUUAGCUAAUACCGCAUACGACCGAGAGGUGAAAGCGGGGGGACCGCAAGGCCUCGCGCGAUUGGAUGAGCCGACGUCGGAUUAGCUAGUUGGCGGGGUAAAGGCCCACCAAGGCGACGAUCCGUAGCUGGUCUGAGAGGAUGAUCAGCCACACUGGAACUGAGACACGGUCCAGACUCCUACGGGAGGCAGCAGUGGGGAAUAUUGGACAAUGGGCGCAAGCCUGAUCCAGCAAUGCCGCGUGUGUGAAGAAGGCC
rnacentral:rRNA from 1 species